UGAAGGUUACGAGCACAGAAGAGAUAC
rnacentral:sRNA from 1 species